AGAGUUUGAUCCUGGCUCAGAGCGAACGCUGGCGGCAGGCUUAACACAUGCAAGUCGAGCGGGCAUAGCAAUAUGUCAGCGGCAGACGGGUGAGUAACGCGUGGGAACGUACCUUUUGGUUCGGAACAACACAGGGAAACUUGUGCUAAUACCGGAUAAGCCCUUACGGGGAAAGAUUUAUCGCCGAAAGAUCGGCCCGCGUCUGAUUAGCUAGUUGGUGAGGUAAUGGCUCACCAAGGCGACGAUCAGUAGCUGGUCUGAGAGGAUGAUCAGCCACACUGGGACUGAGACACGGCCCAAACUCCUACGGGAGGCAGCAGUGGGGAAUAUUGGACAAUGGCGCAAGCCUGAUCCAGCCAUGCCGCGUGAGUGAUGAAGGCCCUAGGGUUGUAAAGCUCUUUUGUGCGGGAAGAUAAUGACGGUACCGCAAGAAUAAGCCCCGGCUAACUUCGUG
rnacentral:rRNA from 1 species